ensembl:rRNA 5S_rRNA 5S ribosomal RNA
CCAACCCUCCUUGUCAAAGCCUGAUCUCAGAAGCUAAGCAGAGCAGGGCCUGGUUUGUACUUGGAUGAGAGACUGUUGGGAAUAUCAGAUG